UGAAGUAUUGGAUUUUUGGAUAACCGAAUAGAGGAACUGUUAUCACAAAAAAUCGUAGUACACUUAUUUUCCUCCAAACUCAGCUUCUCAAAUAUCCUCUUUAUCCAUAUGGCUUGACUUGCACAUGCAGCUCCAGGUACGAACUCUGCCUCUGUAGUGGUAAAGUAACAAUUGGUUGUUUUUUCGAGGACCAAGCCACAACUCCUGAACCUAGCAUAAAGACAUAACCUGAUGUGCUAUUGCAAUCAUUCAAAUCGCCUACAUAAUUACUGUCUGUAUACCCAACCGGACCCUCAUUUCCUCAUUUUCUGUAAAAAACUCCAAGCUCUAUUGUUCUUUCAAGUACCUUAUGAUCCUUUUGACUACCAACAUAUGCAAUUCAGUUGGUUUUGACAUUUACCUACUUACCAAGCUCACAACAUGCAUUAAAUUCGGCCUUGUAGCUGUGAGAUACAUGAGACAUCCCACCAUCUGCUUGUACAAAGUCUCGUCAACUUGAACUCCAUUUUCAUCCUGAAACAACCUACAACUUGGGACUAUAGGGUUGUGAACCAAGUUAUAGUUCUCCAUUUAAAAUUUUCUCAAUACCUCCGAUGCAUACUUUCUUUGGUACAUGUAAAUUCAAUCUGACGUUUGCAACACUUCAAUACCAAGAAAGUAUCUCAUUCUUCCCAAAUCAGUCAUGUCACAUUCUUUUAACAUAGAACUCUUGAACUCAGCGAACAUUAUUUCAUCAUUGCCAGUAAAUAUUAAAUCAUCUACAUACAAACUGACAAUUAGAAUUUUACCUCAUUCUUUUGUCUUAAUGAAUAGAGUUUGCUUGCUGUAGCACUUUUCGAAUCCUUGACUCACAAAAUGUGCUUCAAUAUGACUGAACCAAGAUCGUGGAGCUUGUUUUAGUCCAUAUAAGGCCUUCUUCAAUUUGUACACCUUCUGAGGAUAUUUCUCUAACUCAUAACCCCUUAGUUGCUUUACGUACACCUCUUCCUUGAGUUCUCCAUGCAAGAACGUAGAUUUAACAUCAAGUUGAUAGACGUUCCAUCCUUUCUGAGUUGCUAGAGGCACAAUCAUCCUUACGGUAUCCAUCCUCGCAACCAGUACAAAGACCUCUGUGUAGUCAAUCCCUUGUUGUUGCACGUACCCUUUAGCUACCAACCUAACUUUGAAUUUUUCUAACUCUCCAUUUUCCUUUAGCUUAGUCUUAUAUACCAUUUCAAACCUAUCUUUUUUGCACCAACAGGUAAAUUGGUGAGCUCCCAAGUAUUGUUUUUCUCUAUUGCCUUGAUCUCCAUGUCCAUGCCCAUCCUUUACUUGUCAUGCUUCACGGCCUCCUCAAAAUGCAUUGGAUCUGCUGACGUAAACAAAACCAAAUUGACAUUUGCAUCUUCUUCUUCCUCUGAAAGUCAUUUCCCAAUUACAUAAUCUCUCAUCCACAUAGGAGGUAUUCUGUUUCGUCUUUCAUUUUCACCAUUUUAAGGACUGCUACCCGGUUCAGCGACUUCUUCCUCUUCACUCACUACUGCCUUAUUGACAUUUGCAUCUUCUUCUUCCUCUGAAAGUCAUUUCCCAAUUACAUAAUCUCUCAUCCACACAGGAGGCUCAUCCACACAGAAGGUCUUCUGUUUCGUAUUUCAUUUUCACUAUUUUGAGUACUGCUACCCGGUUCAGUGACUUCUUCCUUUUCACUCAUUGCUGCCUCAUUUUCUACAUCUGUUAUCUCAUUAUCUUCUUUAUCUCCACAAUUCAAGUUGACCACCAUUUGCUCUUCAUAAUUUUUAUCCCAAUUCCAAGACUUGUUUUCUUUAAAGACCAUAUCCCUACUAAUUAUAAUUUUCUUGGCAACAGAAUCAUAGAGUCUAUAUGCUUUAGACUCUUCACUCACUCUUAAAAGUACACAAGUGAUACUCCUAGCAUCUAGCUUUUUUCUUUCGCCUCUGGAACAUGCACAUGAGCCACACAUCCGAAAAUCCUAAAGUGUUAUAUUGAAGGUUUUCUUCCGCUCCAAGCUUCUUCGAGAGUUUGAUUCAUCAUAGCUAAUGUUGGACAUCGAUUUAGAGCAUAGAACGCCCAAUUCACUACGUCUAGCCAAAAUGUCUUGGGGAGUUUUUUUUUUCAUAUACAUACAUUGAACCAUGUUCAUCACUGUUCAAUUCUUCCGCUCGGCUACUCUGUUUUGUUGAAGAGUAUAGGCUGCGGUCAAUUAUCUUUUGGUACCAUGCUGGGAGCAGAACUCAUUGAAUUCAAUGAUGUGAACUCCCCUCCUUGAUUUGUUCUCAAACAUUUAAUAUAUCCUCCUACUUUUUUCUAAACAUAAUUCUUAAAAUGUUUGAAUAAGUUCAAUGCUUCUGACUUUUCUACUAAAAAGUAAAUCCAUGCUUUUCUAGAAAAAUCGCCAAUAAAACAUAUAAGGUACCUGUUCUUGCUUUUGGAGAUUGGAUAAAUUGGACCGCAAAGAUCGGCAUGAAUAAGUUGAAGCUUUUUAGUAGCCCUCUAAUUGCUCUUUCUUGGAAUUGUAUUAAUGUUUUGCUUCUCAGUCAGACAAUCUUCACACACUCUUGAUGGAGCAUCAAAGUGGGGCAUACUGAUAACUCUAAGAAAUGAGAGUUAUUACAUCAAUUUUAGACUUGAAUCAAGAUUACUUAGAGAACAAAUAAGGUGUUUUUAUUACAUUUUGCACAAACAUUCAUUGUAGUUGAGUCUUAAUAAAUUUUGCUUGAAUCAAAGUAAUUUGUGAUAAAAAUAGGUGAAUAAUUGUAGGUUUUCGGAGAGUCUAAAUUCAUGAGGAGAUGUUAAAGCAUUAGAAGGGCAAAAGGAGGAAAGAAGAUGGCCACAAAAAGAAGUAAAGUACAAUUGAGAAUAAGGCAGUGUUUUAGCAGAUGUUAGAGCAACCUAUACUGCAGCAAUCUGGGAGCAAUGCGCGAGAAAAUUUAGGUGGGGAUCAGCCGUUAAAAGCGUAAUCUGCAUGCUUCCUAUUUUAACGCAUGCAUGCUUAUGGGCUUUCGUUUUGCCCUAAUUUGCAAUAUAAAAGGGAAGCAUGCACCACAUGGAAGGGCAGCAAGGAAUUAUCAUCUAAUAAUUGAAAGGCAAGAAGAAGAAGAUCGAGGUUGAAGAGUACUGUUGGGUAAUAUUGAAGAACCGUGCAGAAUUCUUUGUCUUUCACCGUGCUCAACUUAUAUUUCUAUUCUUCCUUUAAUUGUUUGGAUGUAUUCUGUAAUCAACAUAUUUAUGUUUACUUUUAUCAUUCCGAAUAUGAACUAAAUUUACUUGUAGUUGAGU
rnacentral:lncRNA from 1 species